rnacentral:lncRNA from 1 species
CUCAUGUGAAGUACAAUUCACCUAUAUUAGAUUCCAUAUGUCUGCUCCUCGAGAAAGACAAAUACUAGUUGGAGCUAAUCUACAGCUAUUCUAUAAAGAACUUUUGCUUUCAACAUUUUACCAGUUAAAGCUGUUUGUGCUAACUAUUUUAAUUAAUUUAUGUUUUGUAGAACAAAAAUAGAGAAAGUGGAAAGGUCAUCAGUACUUUGUUAAAAAAGAAAGAACAAAAAUAGCUUUAAACAAAGUAGAUAUAUUCGCCACUGAUCAGCUAGUUAAAAUUCUGUCCGCGGGCCGGAUAAAAUCUUCCGGCGGGCCACAGUUGGCCCGCGGGCCGUAGUUUCCCCAUCCCUGCUUUAAGGGAACGAUUUCCAGCAACAAUGCGUCGUUUUAUUUCCAGUAAUGUUUAAUGCACGCACAAUUUGUGUGGGGUCACACUAAUAACAGUAAAUAAACGAAGAACCUUCUUAAAUCGGUUUAUUAAAUAGUGCAUAGCCUUAAAAUUAAUGUGAGCAUGUUAAACUUUUUAAGCAUCGAGGAUUGUUAACACUAUGAACGUUCACAAUUAAAACUUUCGUGUCUUGCGUUUUUGUCUGAUAUUUACUAAAACCUCCUGACUUUUCGCAAUUACGUUGCGAUGUCGUUGCAAAACACAGAUGAACGUGUUAUGACUUUCAAUGACUGAACAAGUCUGAAAUCCGAAUUGGGAGUGGUAAACGGCCGUUCUUCUCCCUCUUCGAGCUUCACACUUGCUCAGCCGUUUCGGAACUUUUCCGUUCUUUCGACUACGGUGCAGUAAGAACCAGGGUGUCUGAAGAACUGGGUGGUCCUGGACAUGUGAUGCUAGCCCACAUGUCCGUGACCCUAAGUCACUGAAGAACUCUGGUGCUUACAGCUAAAUAUAUUUGGCUUUAAAAUUAUUUAAAUUAUUAUCCCGCUCAAAUUAAAAUCUAAAGGGCUGAGGUAGGAUAGAGUAAGGUCCUGGACUGCAGCUAAAGCUUGCAAGUCCGUGCCCUGAAAAACCACCCAGCUCUUCACUAACGUUUAAUCUUAGAACAAGAACGUUUAUAGUGCUUGUAAUUUAUCAAUUUCGGCUUCCAUAAUAUUUUCUAGAUAAGGGGAAAAGCGUUGCUCUUGUGUUAGAUUAGUUAAGUGAUAGUUGCUUUGCGAGAAUGUUAACGAUGUUAUUUUAAAUUUGAAUUAACCUUUAAUCGGUUUCUUAAUAUUAACUUCUAAAUCUGUACGAUAUAUCUGUACGAUUAAGAAUUUUUUGACACGGAAAUUAUUAAUUUAAAAUAUAGUUUUGAAGAUUCUGGAAGCAGUGUAAAGCAACCAUUCAUGAAAGCACAUGUGUACAAUGAGCUUUGUAAGCUGUAUAAAUCUGUUAUUAACAACUGCAUUGAACUGUAUAGAAUUUGCGGUAUGCAUCUGCCAAGUGAACAAAUCCUCCUUAAUGUUCAGAAUAUUAAAAUAAAUUGUAAACUGAAGAAGAAGCAGGCCGAGUGAAUAAAGAGGAUUGAUUACAUUAAUGAGGAUUUCAAAGUAUUUAAAAGAAUCUAAUAACUUUGCGAGGAAGUCCUUGGCCCACAAACAGCUGUAGAGUCAAUCACUAAUUCGUUCUGAUGAUGUGUUUGUUGACCUAGAAUUACUAUGAAUGGUAUUUGAAUAGUAUGAUAUUUUUUUCUAAUGUGUAAAAAUUAAUAAAAUUUUGCUUUUUAGUGCUAACCUAUUUUAAGUCACCAAAAUAGUGUAAUUCCAUGAGGAAGAAAUUAAAAUUUAGUAGAGUGGGUAUGAGCCAGAUUUUGUAAUUUUUUAACGGAUGAAAACUCCGAUAUCAAGAUAGGAAAAUGCUGCAAAAAUAUAGAGUUAAAUUUAAAACUUGUUCGAUUUAAAGAGUAUUCAAAGUGUUUACCAUUAUUUUUAUAUAUUGAUUUAUACUUCUGAUCGUUUCAUUUCUAAAUUAAAACUGAACUGGUCUUCUACCUUUGUUUGCUUUCUUUUGAUUUUUUUUAAAAUCAACAUCUUUUGGAAUUAAUAAAAGAGUUUAAAUAUGGAUAAAAAUUAAAGCGCAAAAUAAAAAUUAAUAAUAUGUAAGCCAAUGAAGCAUUUUCUCAUUCUGAUAACAUAAAAAGUACUUCUUACUAUAUUUAAUAUUGUAUAUAUAUACUAAUAUAUAAUAUAUACUAACUAUACUAUCACUUGUAUUUAACUAAUCUACUGUGAUACGUUUAUUACUGCAGAUAUUCUAAUAUUGUUCAAUGAUUUAAUUUAUCUCAAACAAUAUUAGUUUUGAAUAUAGGUUUUAUCUGCCUUAUUAUUGGAUUAGAUUAUGUAUAAUUCAAUCUUUUUUUUGUGCAUCGUUACUGCUUCUGUCUUUGGUAUUUUUCAGAAUCUUCUUCUUGAUAUGAACACGUUUUGGGAAGCUGAAAUUGCAAAAGAUGAAUAGUCUCGAAUAAAGCAUCUGAUUAAUCUCUGAAAAGUUGAAGGUCUUUUCAAAUAUGUUGCUGCCUACUUUCAAUUAACUUGCUGGCCUAGUAGAGAAUGAAUUUUGCGCCAUUCUCCAGAUUCAAGUGUUGCCGAGAUUUCAAAGGAAAUUGAAAGGGCCAUUUUGUGUUUGUCAAAUGAGAUGAGACUGAUCUGUUCCUCGAAGAUGAUUUCAUUCCCAAAGAUGUGGCUCAAGAUAGAAUCUCAUACCGUCGAGCUAACCGUGGAAGGUUUUCAUGGUUCCCUCUCCAUGUAACGCAAAUGCGGGUCAGUUGCAGCGUAAGUCCUCCAUGAAGGCUAUUUCGAUCCAGGAGUUCUCUCGUCUUCUGGUUUCAAGUGUGCGAUCUUGUGCAGCUGAACAGUCAUAAUCGUAAACCCAGAAAUGGGUCUGCCAUCCAACCCUGGUUGAGCAAUAAAUUAAAUUCAGUUGGAUAUCUCUUUUUGCACUAAGCAAACUUGUUGAAAGUUUUCGAGAACAGACUUCCGUGGUUCCUACUCUAAACCCUGCAAUGACAAUUAAUGUCUUUCGAAUUAAGUGUUUACAUAGUUGUCAUACUGACCGUAAACUAUUUUUAUUGAAGGAAAGUAAAAUUAUUUUUUUUAGAAACGUAAACAUAAUCUUGUCAAAUGCUUCCAAGUUCAUUAAUUUCCAGGGAUUUUAUUUUGUGUUAUUCAAUGUAAUGGCUGUUUUUUACUGUUUAAAAAAUUUGAAUAUAUCAUUCUCACUUUGAAUUGUGAGAGCAUGAAGGUUAUGGUAAAUUUAUAGCAAGUAUACUUAUUAAACUAAAAAAUGAAAGAGAUUGAAUUUUUUUUGAUACGAAAUGACAACAAUUGAUGCCGUUGUGAUUUACCAAAGCUUUUACUGUUCCAGUUUUUUGUCUGUUCUUCCUAAAAAAGUUUCAAGAUUUGAAUUUCAUUUACUGUAAUAUACUUCCAUUCAGAACUAAACUUUUUUCCUCCUUUGUCAUUUAAACUUUACAGUUUUUUAAAAAUACUUUAUUAGUAAACGAAUUGUAUAUAAAACCAAAGGUUUAUAGCUAUGUGAAAGCUCUAAAAGUGUGAUUUUUUGUUUCCCUCAUAGUUUGCUGUUUUAACUUUGCUACUUUUAAAGUGGUAGCAAAUAUUGAUAUUGUUAAAAGACACUUUUGAUAAUGUGUUAAUUUUUUCAAGCUUGCAAUGUGGAUGUUAAAUUUUGCUAUUUUUGUACGAGACUUUUAGCAUAAUGCAUAGAUACAUGCAAUUCUGUGUCUUGUUCUACUCUUAUCAGCCAUGAAUAAAUAGCUUAUUCUUGA